rnacentral:rRNA from 1 species
GACGAACGCUGGCGGCGUGCCUAAUACAUGCAAGUUGAGCGCUGAAGGUUGGUACUUGUACCAACUGGAUGAGCAGCGAACGGGUGAGUAACGCGUGGGGAAUCUGCCUUUGAGCGGGGGACAACAUUUGGAAACGAAUGCUAAUACCGCAUAAAAACUUUAAACAAAAGUUUUAAGUUUGAAAGAUGCAAUUGCAUCACUCAAAGAUGAUCCCGCGUUGUAUUAGCUAGUUGGUGAGGUAAAGGCUCACCAAGGCGAUGAUACAUAGCCGACCUGAGAGGGUGGUCGGCCACAUUGGGACUGAGACACGGCCCAAACGCCUACGGGAGGCAGCAGUAGGGAAUCUUCGGCAAUGGACGAAAGUCUGACCGAGCAACGCCGCGGGAGGGAAGAAGGUUUUCGGAUCGUAAAACUCUGUUGGUAGAGAAGAACGUUGGUGAGAGUGGAAAGCUCAUCAAGUGACGGUAACUACCCAGAAAGGGACGGCUAACUACGUG